rnacentral:rRNA from 1 species
UACGGAGGGUGCAAGCGUUAUCCGGAUUUACUGGGUUUAAAGGGUGCGUAGGUGGGUAGGUAAGUCAGUGGUGAAAUCUUCGAGCUUAACUCGGAAACUGCCAUUGAUACUAUUUAUCUUGAAUACUUUGGAGGUAAGCGGAAUAUGUCAUGUAGCGGUGAAAUGCUUAGAUAUGACAUAGAACACCAAUUGCGAAGGCAGCUUACUACACAGUUAUUGACACUGAGGCACGAAAGCUAGGGGAGCGAAUGGG